GAUGAACGCUGGCGGCGUGCCUAAUACAUGCAAGUCGAGCGAACAGACGAGGAGCUUGCUCCUCUGACGUUAGCGGCGGACGGGUGAGUAACACGUGGAUAACCUACCUAUAAGACUGGGAUAACUUCGGGAAACCGGAGCUAAUACCGUAUAAUAUAUUGAACCGCAUGGUUCAAUAGUGAAAGACGGUUUUGCUGUCACUUAUAGAUGGAUCCGCGCCGCAUUAGCUAGUUGGUAAGUUAACGGCUUACCAAGGCAACGAUGCGUAGCCGACCUGAGAGGGUGAUCGGCCACACUGGAACUGAGACACGGUCCAGACUCCUACGGGAGGCAGCAGUAGGGAAUCGUCCGCAAUGGGCGAAAGCCUGACGGAGCAACGCCGCGUGAGUGAUGAAGGUCUUCGGAUCGUAAAACUCUGUUAUUAGGGAAGAACAAAUGUGUAAGUAACUAUGCACGUCUUGACGGUACCUAAUCAGAAAGCCACGGCUAACUACGUG
rnacentral:rRNA from 1 species